rnacentral:rRNA from 1 species
GACGUAGGGCGCGAGCGUUGUCCGGAAUUAUUGGGCGUAAAGAGCUCGUAGGCGGUGUGUCACGUCGGCCGUGAAAACCUGCAGCUUAACUGUGGGCGUGCGGUCGAUACGGGCAUCACUGGAGUUCGGCAGGGGAGACUGGAAUUCCUGGUGUAGCGGUGAAAUGCGCAGAUAUCAGGAGGAACACCGGUGGCGAAGGCGGGUCUCUGGGCCGAUACUGACGCUGAGGAGCGAAAGCGUGGGGAGCAAACAGG